GUGAAUCAUCGAAUUUUUGAACGCAAAUUGCACUCUCCGGUUUUCCGGGAGAGUAUGCCUGUUUGAGGGUCAGCCUAAAAAAAAUCGACAUUGUUGCUGUUUUAUGGUGACUUUCGUCGGAGAUGGGUUAUCUUAAAUCUCGGUUUAAGCGACUUAAAAAUUUUUUUUACGAUUCUAAGAAUGUUUCUAAGAUUUACUUACACGUUUAAGGUAUCGAUCUUUAUUAGACGUGGCCGUUGCAUCGGAUCGCGUCCAUAAAUAUUUCGUUAACUGACCUCAUACAGGUAAGAACACCCGCUGA
rnacentral:misc_RNA from 1 species